UCAACAUUACAGUCUGAGGUUUUCUGUGACGAAAACAGAGAAGCAAUAACCAGAGUGAACUAAAGAGCAGCAUCAUGAUUACUUUCUUCUGUUUCACCUUCAGUGUUUUUCUCAUCUCAGGCUCGUCCCUCAGACAAAUAGUCGAGCAGACGCCGACGCACAUGUUCAGCAAACCGGGAGAAAAACCCAAAAUCAACUGUAAACAUGAAAUCAAGGACUACACCCGAAUGCUCUGGUACAAACAGUUAAAGAACAGACAGAUGCAGUUCCUCGGAUACAUGAAUGUUAAAGACGGCUAUCCUGAAGAUGGAGUUCAUGUGAAGAUUGAAGGGAGCGCACUGGAACGACAGAACUGCACGUUAACAAUAGAAGCAGUGGAGCUGAGCAGUAGUGCGGUUUAUUUCUGUGCUGCUAGUCUCCACAGUGCUUCAUAACUUUGCUCCUCAAUACAAAAACCUGCUGAUACUGUUUUUAUUUCAUCUCAGCGCUGCACUCCACAGCCCCUUACAGCUGUACCACGACAUACUAACCAAUGUGGGCCUUUUUUUCUAAUCCAGAUCUGAUAUAACAGGAGGAGGUUUCGUAUCAGCAGCAGUACUUCUGCGUUUGUUACACUUUGUCAUGAUUUGUCAUCAUCACUAAAAUUCUUACACAUUUCAGUCAAGAAAAUUACAGAAAUAUAACCCUU